GGGGCAAAAUGAGAUUUU
rnacentral:miRNA from 1 species